UAUUGAUACAUGGUCGCAUGUUUCGAGACUUGCCACCCUUAAAGCAAACUUUAGCUAAUGACUUUAAAUAUAUCCACAUACACCUAAAAUGCAUACUUAACCCAAUUUAUUCAUAAUGUGUAAAGACACAAACCCAAAAAUAAAAAAUAAAAAAAGGCACAAAGUCAUACAAUCAUGCCUACCAAACAUGUUAGACACUACACCAAAGCAAUACCAACAAGUUUAACAUACUAAAAUAAAUGUAAAACAUAUCAGUUCAG
rnacentral:lncRNA from 1 species